rnacentral:sRNA from 1 species
UCCGAUCACAAGGUGGGCCCCCUGAGGC